rnacentral:lncRNA from 1 species
AUGCGAGGCUGGGGCCGGUUGCCUACCGGCCGCUUCUCGCCGAGGCAGUCCAGACUUUUCCCCCGGCGGUGCCCGCUCCAAGACAGCAUCUGUCAACGCUCCUCUUCUCCCCUCCUCCUCCUGCCGGGCCGGGCUCCGCCGGCUGCGGCCGAGAGGACGCGGGACCCGGCGCGGUGAGCCCAUCAGCUGUCAGGCGAGCGGCGAAGCGGCUGGAGGGCGGCGAGAGACACACAAAGAACGCGGUGGGCGGCGGCGGCGAAAGGGGACGGCAACUCCUCCCCGCGCCCGCCGGUGCCACCGCCGGCCGUGCUUGUUCCGAGGCCGCGCAGACAAUGCGGCCGGGCUCGUCCCCGCGUGCCCCAGAGUGCGGAGCGCCCGCGCUCCCCCGACCCCAACUUGACCGUCUCCCGGCUCGCCCAGCCCCCUCCCGGGGUAGGGGCGCCCCCUCCCUCCGGUGGCCGGCGAAGGAAGUCGGUCCGCGGCCGCAGAUCCCGGCAACUUGCGAACCGGGAAAAGUUUGCGGCGCCUCCGCGGGGCGGCGCGACGCGGCCCGCCCCUCGCGUCCGCGGUCAUCGCGGGUGACUUUCUCGACUCGUCGUCAGCCGGGGCCGCAGCGCGGCCGGUGGGGACUGCGGGGCGGGCCGGAGUCCGUCCGAGGGCUCCCGCACCUCGGGCUGCGGGAACAUUAAAAUCUCCCCAGAUGCUCACUGCUCUGAUCAUUUCCCCUACAGCACCAGACAUGUUGGCAUCAUCUCUUAGUUGGGCCAUGUGGCCAGGGAACCCUUCAUGAAACCACCUCUGCAGUCCUGGAGAGUUGCUGUAGAAGAAGGAAAAGAGAGGAAGACAACACAACACAGGAGGGGAUAAGUACCUCUGGACACAAUGGAAGUAGUAGUUGUUGAGCAGAGGGAAAGGGAUAGGAGAAGGAUGUGGACUGCAGUGCUGCAGUGCCAGGUAAUAACUUUGAUCAUGUACCUCCUUGGCUCAGGUGCUGUCUCUUCUACUCUCCUCCUUACUUGUACUACCUUAUUUAGCACUUAAUUAUAUACUUUCUUGACUCACUUUGAGACACACUGAUUAUGUGGUCUGCCUCAAAGACAGAAUCCUAGUUUUGGAUUUUAGCAUUACUGAUCUAUAGCCUUGCAGGGGCUUAAGGAUGGCAGCUGUCUCUCUCCCUUGGGAUCUAGCUUUUGCAAAUAUUGAAGGGAAGAGAUUUCUUUGAUCUUAUAGGAAUAGAUCCACAGUUCCUCUCCAGAUUUGCUUUUAUAGAGAAGUGUGUGUCACCAAAACAAUGGAGAUACGGUCAGAGAGGCCCCUACCCCCAGAAUUUUAAUAUAAUUUUACUUUCUGGGGCAUUUAUUCUUGACAAAUACUUUCUCUCCUAUCAGCUCACUUGUUCCUCACAAAAACCCUAUAAGAUAUUAAUAUUAUUAAACAGACCCCUAUGAAGCACCUCAAGUCUUUCUCUCUUCCCACUUCCAUUCUUGCACACCUUUUGCUAGACUAGUCUCUGCGUUCAUCACAUCAGGUUUCUAAAAUAAAAGUCCCCUAAUAACUUUCUAUUUGUUCUCUCAUCAUAUUGAACCUUUUUUGCCUGGCUUAUAAGGUGGCCUUAAAACCCCAUUUUCCUCUAAACAUUGUCUCUGUAGUUCAGGAAUAUGGCAGGCUCAACACUAUGCUUGAGCCCAUAUUGCUUCCCUCAUUAGUGAUGCCUCCUCUCAGACCACCCAGAUUCUACUCAUUCUUCAAUUUCCAGCUUCUCCUUGGAGCCUUCCCAGAUCAUUAGCUUCUUAAAAAUCCCAGCUUUCUCUGAAUUCUGAUGGUAGCCCCCGUUAUUUGGACAAUUAUGUCCUGGUCUUAAAGUCCUAAUGGGAAAAAAAAGUACAUGAUGGACUUCAUGUAGAGAAGAAAGCACUGGACUGAGUUUUAAGACAGCUGCUAAGGAGCUGUGUGAGCCAAACCAGGUUACUUUACCUCUCUGGAUCUAUAUUUGCUGAUCUGUUAAGUGGAGACAAUUGGGUCAGAUAAUCUUGGUGGUCUUUGCUUAUUCUGAGGUUCUUGGACAACUUGGCCUAGUUCACGUGGGAUGGGAUUGAAGAUCUUACUGAGUUCUUGGAUGGAAAUGUCAGUAAUGGGCACUUAGUGCCUUCAGGACUUGUUCUAUACUAUCCCAGAAAUUUCUGAUGCUAAACUUGGCAAUUUUUAAAUGUCAUAUUCCUUUUCUCCAAACUCUUUAACCACAAGAAUUCAGGGAAGGUUAUGGGGGGUGACUUAGUUAUCUGGAUAAUACAUAUUGUGGACAAUAUAGCAUUAUCCUUGGGAAUGAUUUCAUAUUGUUGAAUAAAUAGGAUCAACUUCUUGAUAAACCUUAGUCCCAAGCAUUUCAUCUUCAUUGGAUAGUGUUACAUAGUAAUAUAUUUAUGUUUUCUUUUAAUCAUUUCAUAACUUGGAAAAUACUAACAUAGUCAAAACUCUAGGGUAGGUGAUACAUGAGUUUCUGUAGUAAUCUGGUUGGAGACAUGUUGUAAUUCUGUAUAUAUAUGUACAUUUAUCCCAUGCAUGUUAUGCCUAAACUAAGACGGAUACCCCUGAAUUAAGAGGUGCUGUUAUACAUUGACCAGGCUUAAGAAUAUCUCUUUAAAGUGUGUCGACAUUUAAUUGACCUUUGGAAGUUCAUUCUGUUAAUCAUACUCAAAGUGCUAAAGCUAUGGUUGACUGCUCUGGUGUUUUUAUAUUCAUUCGUGCUUUAGCAUAUAAAUUCUUCAGCAUAAUUGCUACUUAUUUAGCAAGAGUUUCCUUUAUUUGAAAAUGUGAGUUGUGCUUGUAUUUUUGUGUCUUUCUUUCUUUCUUUCUUUUUUUAAACUUUGCUUCAGGCUGGGUAGUGGUAGAGGUUUGAAUUAAAAUGUUUUCCUGUCAGUAGUUGUAUGAGGUGUGGCUUCUUAAUCUAGAAGUAAUGGAAAUUUCUUGCUUAAAUGAAGUGCACUUUUCUUCCUGCAGAAGUUAGAACUCUUUUAGACAAGCUUAACACUUCAAAACUGUAUAUCUUUAACAGAAACUUUUGGAAAUUUUUAAAUUCCAUUUGUGUAGAUUAAAAAUAUCAAUGCUAAUACUUUCUAUUAAAUAAGGAUUUAUCUAUUUUCAUAAAACCUCUAAUUAUAUUCCUUGAAUUGCUAUGAGUAGAAUUUUGUUGUAAACACAAUAUUUUUAAAAAGUCAAAUAUAUUUUAAAAAUCUUAACAUUAUAUUACUAUAACUUAGAGAACAGGUGUUUACAUGUUUAAAAUUUUCUAGGCCUUAAAUUUGUGAAAUCAGUCUUUCAGAAGUUAUUUUUAAUAUAGUUAUCUGUGUUACAGGUUUAUAAGUUGACAUUUCAAUUUAAAAUUUUUUCAAUUUAUAUUUCAAUGACCAGGAAAAAAUAGUUAAACUUAUUCCUAAAUUUUAAUAGAAAAAUAAAAAACCACAUAGUUGUUAAUUUCUGGUAAUUUAUCUUGAGACUCCAGGCAUGUUUUUAGAACAUUUUUACCUUAAAAGCAAUUUUGAAAUAGGGAAAUUAAAGUUUAAAGCAGAGUUUUCACUUUAAUGAGGUAAUUUUAUACUUCCCAGAUAGGUAGGCCCAUAUUCAAGAACACUCUGAUCUCUGUUUAUAGUAAGUUUUGAUGCCAUUAUAUCAUUUACUUAUUCACGCAUUAUAAGCAUAGUAGAUAGCCCCAUUGUCACGAAGCUGGCAUUAUUUUCUUGUCUGUCAUUCAAUAUUGUCCCCUUUUUUUUUUCUGUUUUCAUCAUAGCCGUCCUUUUCAUUUUAUUGUAGCCCUGACUCGAAAUGAAAGUAAGUUUGAACUCUUAAAAAAGAGUUCCUCAAACUCUUUUUUAAGAAUAUACAGUGAAAUGUCUUAAAUAAUAUUAUCUAAAUAAUACCUAAAGAAUGCAAAUGACUUGCAAUGCUGAAUAGUCAGACACAGGAUGUUCCAUGCUAAGGGUAGACUCAUAUUUCCACUUUAUAAAAUGUGGUUUCAGAAAACAAAUAGAUGUGUUUCUUCCUUAAUAAUUAGUGUUUCAGGACCAAAGUUGACUAAAUAUGGAAGUUUAAGAUAAAACCCGGUUUCUUAGGGAAUCUUUCUCAGUCCUUAGUAAUUCUGUAGAAUUGAUGAUAGAGUGGCAACUUCAAUACACUCAGUAUUCUUUUCUGUUUGAAGUCUGUUUUGCCAUUGGAAAAAACUUAUUGUUGUUUGAAUUUGGGUAUAUGUAUUCACAGAUGGUUUACUUUAUUUUUAUUUUGUUUAAACAAAUACUUUCAUGUCCCAAACACUGAGACAUGUUUCAUGUCCUAAACACUUUAUAAAUAUUAGAAUAUUUAAUCCCCUUAACUCUGUAGUUAUAAUUAUCUUCAUUUUACAAUUGAGAAAACUAAGAUACGACGUUUUAUUUAAUGGUAACGCCUUAAGUAAGGGGAGAGUGAUAAGUGUAAGCAGAGUGGAAAACUUAGUAGUGCUAAGGAGCAACAGAAGUAUGUGCAAGAGUUUGGGAAGAUGUGUCUGCUUGGAAAGGAUCAGGGACUCAGCUGGGAUCAGUCUUAAAGAGCAACAUGUCCUCAUUCCUCAAUUUUAAGCCUUUGGGCUCUAGAAGUAAAGGGCAAACUUAGAGGAGGCACUCCUCAGGUUUCAGCUGCCUGUUCCGGCCUGGUGAGGUGGCUGUACUGGCUCAUGUGUUUCUCAUAGGGCUACAUGAGCCUUUAUGUCUUACCUCCUCCUCAUUUCUUGGCUGACUCCUGCUUUUUUGGAGGGUUUAACUUCUCUCUCAGCUAGAAGGUUAGGCAUUGCAAAUACCAGUGGAUAAUUUUUUUCUUAGCUUUAACCCCAGCCCAUUUCAACCCCCUCUUUGCCCUUUGUAUAUUCUUUUGAAAAUAUGAUCCAGUAGUGUUUAUGAAUGUGUGUUGUGUAAAAUUUAGAGAUUGAUGUUAAACAACAGAAUUAAAGGACAAAGCUGUCUUUUUUGUUGGAAUUGGGGAUGGGAGAGCAGCUCAAAGUGGGAAAUAUGGAGAAAGGAGAGACAUUGUGGAAAAGAAGAGAUAAAUUGAGGGGAAAAAAAGAGGAUGAAAAAAUGAAGAGAGAGAAUUACUGAUGUGCUUCACACCCACACCUCCUCUCCAACUUCACAGUAACAGAGGCAAUGUCACUAUCUUUUACCUGACAAGUGCUUUACCAGGGAGUUGUGCCUGGCAUCGUGGGAGUGGAAAAUUUUUCCCUUUUGCAUUUUGAGACUUGGGUGUGCUGCUUUAAGAUGCCACUGGUAUCUAAGUAAUGUUUGUUUAUACUGGAUAUUUUUCUCUGUAGCCUUUGUGGAUUGGACUUAUAAUAUAAACAAUAUUGUUAGCAGAACUGCAGGUACUCUAUUGCUAUGUUUAUUUUAUUAGUUAAAAAACUACCAGAGCCCUAGGACUUCUGAGCACAUUUAGAAAAUACCAGAGGCAAUUUUAAGACUAGCAUUAGAAAGAAAGAAAAGAAUAAGAAUAAAACUAAGACUUGCAUACCUUAGAAUCCUAACCAAUGUGGUGAUUUUUAAAAAUUAAUGUUUCAGAGACUCUAAAUUAGGGUAGUUGGUUUCAUCAAUUACAUUUUUUAAGUUAAUAUAAAGUGCUUUUGUAUGUAAAUUCUCUUAAUAGAUAAUUUAGGUAAAAUGAAAGUGUGGCAUUUUUUGUUCCAUAGAAUGUAAAACUAACGUCAGAAUAAGAAUUCUUUUGGGAAUUUAGGAUUUUUUUGAUGCUUCUCAAAUCAUCUGUAAUGACUUUUAUUUAUAGAAAAGGUAGAUUAUUCAUUAGUUUUUAUGAAAAACACUCAGUUUAAAUAGCCGGGUAUGGUGGCGCAUGGCUGUAGUCCCAGCUACUCAGGAGGCUGGGCACGAGAAUUGCUUGAACCUGUGAGGCAGAGGUUGCAGUGAGCCAAGAUCGCACCACUGCACUCCAGCCUGGUCCAGAGUGAGAUUCCGUCUCGAACAAAACAAAACAAAAAUAUUGAGCUAAUCUAAAUGGUAAAAAUCUAGAUUUGAAGAAAUUUAUUUUAAAAUAGUUGUUCAUUUGUCAAAUAGAAAAGUAUGAUCUUAGCAGGUUUGGUUAGAUCCCUAUCUGAAACAAAGUAAACUAAAGAUGUUUUUCUUGAUCAAUGCAUAGCAAUAACUGCUGUUCAAACAUGUGAGGAAUCACCAGUAAAUUGGGGGAUAGAAAGCAGGAAAAGGAGCUUUUUUCUCUUAUUUUUUUUCAUUUAUCAGUUUUUCCCAUUUGUCCAUCCUUUCCUAUAAUCAUGGAAAUUUUUAUUUUUUACACUCCUCUCCCCAUUUUUUUAUCCUAGAUUGCCACCACACCAAGGUUUUCUAGAGUUAGGCAGAAAGAGAACCUGGGCCUAGAUGCUAAUGGAAACUAUCCCAUGCUUUCUCAGACUCUCUUUCCUCCCCAGAGACAAGAGGAGCAAAACAGGAGUUGAUGGCUCAUUGCUGUUGCUUCUGUGGCUGCCCUGUUUGGUUGACCUGAGCUUUUUUUAAAAACCUCCACUCUUGACGCUUAACUCUAUGAAUAAAAUUAGGGCCAGUCACACUGUAUUUUCAUCAUCAGUUAUCCCUAGUGAUUCAAAUUUAGCACAAACCUGCUGUGAGUACAUAUUAAUUAGGUGAAUACAGUAGAAUGCAAUCAUAACAUGAGUCUUUUAAUAACUAUUCUUUGUUUGAUUUUUAUUUUAGAAGUUUGAAGUUAUUUUGUUGAAAAUCUAGAAAAUCUUUAUGUGAGCAACUGAGGUUCGGGUAGCCCACAACAGUUUAAAUCAAACAUUAACUUGCAGUAAAACACUACUGAAAGUGUCUUUGAUUUUGAGGUGCAGAGAGCUGUUUCAAGUUAAGUUGCUAUAUUAGUCUGUUCUCAUGCUGCUAAUAAAGACAUACCUGCAACCGGGCAAUUUAUUAAAAAAAAAAAGAGGUUUAAUUGACUGACAGUUCCACAUGGCUGGGGAGGCCUCACCGUCAUGGUGAAAGAGCAAGGGAUGUCUUACAUGGUGGCAGGCAAGAAGUUUGUGCAGAGGAACUCCUGUUUAUAAAACCACCAGAUCUCAUGAGACUUACUCACUACCAGGAGAACAGGAUGCGGGAAACCACCUCGGUGAUUCAGUUAUCUGCACCUGGCCCCACCCUUGACACAUGUUGAUUAUUACAAUUCAAGGUGAGAUUUGGGUAGGUACACAGCCAAACCAUAUCAGCUGCCCAUUCUCCUGUGCAGUGACAUAAAGGUCUGAUAACCUGAUUUAAAGCUUGGACUCUAAGAUUUUUUUUUUUCUUUUUUUGAGUCAGGUUAUCUCUGUCGCUCAAGCUGGAGUUCAGUGGCAUGAACAGGGCUCAUUGCAGCCUCAACCUUCCAGGUUCAAGUGAUUCUCUUGCCUCAACCUCCUGAGUAUCUGGGGCUACAGGCAUGUGCCACCGUGCCAGGCUAAUAUUUUUAUUUUUAUUUUUGUAAAGAUGGGGUCUCACUUCUGGGCUCAAGCAAUCUUUCCUCAGCCUCCCAAAGUGCUGGGAUUAUAGGUGCGAGCCACUGCACCCUGCUGUAAAGAAUUUCAUAUCCCUGUUUUCGGUGUGCUGUGUCACUGUUUGCCAUGGGUAAAGGUAUAUGAAUCUCUUUUAUUUUGCUGCUUGCAACCCAAUUCCCAUGCCAAACCCAAUUUGUAUCCAAACAAACAAUAUUGGAGACAAGUUCUUCUAUAGAAAGCUUCAUAAGCCAGUUACUGACUACUGUGUCUGUAAAUAUACUCAAACUAUUUUGUAGUCUUGCUAUUUUAAAAAAUGUGUGGGUGUGGGAAGUGAUGUUGAAUGAAUUCAGGGUAAUUGGUGGUUCUUUGUAUUAGGAAAACUCACUAGUUAAGGGAAGUCUGUUUUCAUGAUUCAUGUAUGUUUAACUUAAAAAAAAAUUCUUCCAUCCUUCUCUCCAGUUUCCACUCUACCUCAUAAAUUCAAGUAAUGAAGGAAUUUAAAUAAUAGAAUUUUAUAACUGAAAGGAUUUUGGAGAGAAUCUAUUAACCCUCCUACUACAGUUGAGGAAAUAGAUGUCCAGUGAGGUCAAAUGAGAUCAUGUAGCUAGUUUAAAAACCCAAAUAACAUUUUAGUAGUUUGUUUCCAUUAGUAAACACUGUUCUGUUUGAUUUGCCCUAACAUGUUCAUAAUCAGAGUCAUAAUAAGGAAAAAUCACUAAUAUGUGUGUGGUACUUUCUUGUGCAUACCUCAGUCACUUCUCAAAAGAGGUCUGUAAGGUGUCGGUAUCCUGGUUUCCAUUCAGGGAGAGAACAGUCUAUGAGCCUAAGAGACCUGUCUGUGCCAGUCACUAUCAGAACAGUCUAAUGCUAUGUGUCUUCCUACCUUGGCAAAAGCAUUGGCUGGUCUCUGGACAGUUCUCAUAGACCACAGGAUUGGGCAGGGGGGAGCCACAUCUUCAUGUUAGGGCUCUAACCUGUACCAAUUAUUAACUGUUGUCUCUAUUUCAUCAUUUCUUAAAGGGAAAAAAAAGCACUUUUUAAAGAGCAUGAGAUUUUAAAUUUUUCAAAAGAAGGAUGCUGGAUCAUUAUAAGUAAGGCAUGUUUUAAAGAUCUUCUUAUCAACAGCUUAAAAAUUAGCCAGUAUAUACUGAACAUCCACUGUAUAAAAAGCACAUUAUGGGGUGCUCCAGUAGGUACAGCAGUGAUCGAGACAGAAUCAUAGCCUUCAGGGAAGAGGUAUAUGCAAUGUUCUCUCCUUCCAAAGAUUACCUAGAUAGAGAACUGUUCAUAAGAAAUAUCUUGGUACUGUCUACAUUACUCUUGAGAUAUAAAAUAUAUAUUAUUUCUUACGUCUGAAAUGAGUCAGUUGUUUCUAAAACAAUUUGUAUUAAAGUAUUCACAUUAAAAAUUUGUAAAAUACAGAAAAGUAGAGAGAAAAAAUCAUGAAUUUUUAACAUGGUAAUGAUUAUAUCAGUUUCGUUCUUGGCGUUUCUUUAACUUGAUGGGAUAGCUAAUGUUUUUUGUCAUUGCAUAGCUUUGUAAACUUGUCCUAAGGAUUAUAUAAUUUCAGCAUGAGUUAGUUUCUAAGUAUGUCAGAAAUCUAGCUUUUUUGUGGUAAUUGUUGUUUUACACAAAAUGAUUAAUAAAAGACUCUAAACUAACCUUGGCUUUAGAAAUGCUUUUUAAAUUUUAAAAUAGUGAAUGAGUAGCAGAUUACUUUCUAGUAUUUCUUUAAGGUCACCAAAAUCACUUAACUUGCUUAAAAUAUUGAUGGAAAUAUCAACUACGUACAGUUGACCUAAAUUAGAAAUGGGUGUUUUUUAAAUAGUGAAAUUUAUAAAUAUAAUAUGUAUAUUUUAAAAUACAGUUUAUAUUAUAGAGUUAUGUUCCUCUGUAAUAAUUUCUCUUUACACUGAAUCAUGUUCAGUUUUUAUUAUGCAGAUAAUUUAAUCUUACAGCUUUGAUCUUUUUUAAAAAAUAAAACAGCCAUUUGGAGUCUAAA